UCGAACGAUGACCUCCUUCGGGAGGGGAUUAGUGGCGAACGGGUCAGUAACACGUGGGCAAUCUGCCCUGCACUCUGGGACAAGCCCUGGAAACGGGGUCUAAUACCGGAUAACACUGCGGACCGCAUGGUCUGCGGUUGAAAGCUCCGGCGGUGCAGGAUGAGCCCGCGGCCUAUCAGCUUGUUGGUGGGGUGAUGGCCUACCAAGGCGACGACGGGUAGCCGGCCUGAGAGGGCGACCGGCCACACUGGGACUGAGACACGGCCCAGACUCCUACGGGAGGCAGCAGUGGGGAAUAUUGCACAAUGGGCGAAAGCCUGAUGCAGC
rnacentral:rRNA from 1 species